rnacentral:rRNA from 1 species
CAGUCGCCGCGGUAGUACGAAGGGUGCAAGCGUUAAUCGGAAUUACUGGGCGUAAAGCGUGCGUAGGCGGUUUGUUAAGUCUGUUGUGAAAUCCCCGGGCUCAACCUGGGAAUGGCAAUGGAUACUGGCAAGCUAGAGUGUGUCAGAGGAUGGUGGAAUUCCCGGUGUAGCGGUGAAAUGCGUAGAGAUCGGGAGGAACAUCAGUGGCGAAGGCGGCCAUCUGGGACAACACUGACGCUGGGGCACGAAAGCGUGGGGAGCAAACAGGAUUAGAUACCCGAGUAGUCCCUGUCUCUUAUAC